ensembl:lncRNA
CCAGAGAAUAGAAUUCAUCGGCGCAGUCCUAGACUCCAGACGUGCACAAGCCAUCCUGCCAGACAACCGCUUUUGCACCAUCACGAGCCUCAUUCAAGGACUCAAGGCCUUCCCAACUACCACGGUGAGGUCGUGCCUUACCCUGCUGGGUCACAUGGCUUCCUGCACGUACGUAACCAGGCAUGCCAGACUUCGGCUUCGCCCACUUCAAACCUGGGUGUCAUCAAUAUACCGCCCACAUCGGGACAGCCUGAACAUGGUGGUCACGGUCCCGUACUCGGUCCUGACCUCCCUCACCUGGUGGCUAGAUCGCAACGUGGUUUGCGAGGGGAUGCCAUUUCACGCCCCACAACCCUCUCUACACCUAGUCACAGACGCUUCAUCUCUGGGUUGGGGCGCCCAUCUCGACGAACACCAUACCCAGGGCCUGUGGACUGCAUCCCAGCUAGCCCUGCACAUCAAUGUUCGGGAACUGAUGGCGGUGCGCCUGGCGUGCCAGGCAUUUCUCAACCUCCUACGUGACCGAUGUGUGUUAGUUCUCAUCGACAACACCACGGCCAUGUUUUACAUCAACAAGCAAGGAGGAGCACGUUCGUCAAUUCUAUGCCAAGAGGCCAUUCGCCUGUGGGACUUCUGCAUCGCCCACUCAAUCCAUCUCACGGCAUCGUUCCUCCCUGGAGUCCAGAACACUUUAGCGGACCGACUCAGCAGGUCCUUUCAAACGCACGAGUGGUCUAUCCGUCCAGACAUCAUACAUUCCGUCUUCCAGAAGUGGGGGUUUCCCCAGGUAGACCUGUUUGCAUCUCGAGACAACAGGAAGUGCCACGUGUUCUGCUCCCUACAAGGUCGAGCUCCGGGCUCCCUCUCAGAUGCGUUUCUCCUUCCCUGGAAAGACCACCUGUUUUAUGCCUUCCCUCCGUUUCCUCUGGUCCACAAGGUACUGCUCAAAUUGCGCAGAGACCAGGCACAGGUAAUUCUGGUCGCUCCAGCGUGGCCGAGACAACAUUGGUACACCACGCUGUUGGAACUCUCGGUUCAGACACCGAUCCCACUUCCAUUAUGUCCGGAUCUCAUCUCUCAGGACCACGGCCGGCUGCGUCACCCCGACCUGCAAUCUCUCCACCUCACGGCGUGGCUGCUCCAUGGUUCACCCAGGCAGAGCAGCAAUGCUCGCACUCUGUCCAACAGAUUCUGCUGAGCAGUAGGAAGCCCUCAACACGGACCACGUACCUGGCCAAGUGGAAGCGGUUCUCCUGUUGGUGCGAACAACGAGCCACGUCCCCGUUGCAGGCACCUAUUCCUCUCAUUUUGGAAUAUCUCCUCGCCCUAAAACAGCAGGGGUUGGCGAUAUCUUCAAUUAGAGUUCACCUGGCCGCUAUAUCGGCCUUUCACCCAGGGGAACUCGCGUCUUCGGUAUUCUCUAACCCGAUGGUCGUUAGAUUCCUCAAGGGCUUGGACCGGAUGUACCCACAGCAACGUCAGCCCGUUCCGACGUGGGACCUCAACCUGGUUCUCUCCAAGCUCAC